rnacentral:pre_miRNA from 1 species
ACGCUCCUUGCUGGUUUUAUUUCCCCGUCGCUCUUCAAAUAAGACGGGCAAGAAGUGUGC